GGACCUCCCUGGACAUCAAGAUGGAAGAGCAAAUAGUUUCUCAUGCUGGAGAAAUGCUCUCCAGUGUGGUGGUCGUAUCUUGUAAGGAUUCAGUCCCACAUCAAGUAGUGUCUUUGACAAUGGAAGGAAUUGCAAUCCCCCAGCUCAGUGCCAAAAGUGUGGGCAGUUUUGAAGCUUUUUAUAAUUCCAUUAAACCUAUCCAGAUUAUCAACAGUGCCAUAGAAAGGAUGAAGCCAGGGAAAUUUCCCUAUGGCAAAACAAAUUUAUUUCGCAUUUCUUCUGUAUGUGAGGGGUAACAAAGUUCUGUAUGAGACUUAUUAUCAGACAUUCAGUAUACACUACGCUGUGACAUGAGGCAGUCUCUGUUGACCAAGGACUUGACAAAGGCCGGUGAAUUUACCAUCCACUCUGCUCCUCAGGAGGGGAAGUUGACUCCAAGUCCUGUGGACUUCACAGAUUAUACCUGCAACCUUACAGAAUAUCAAAGAGAGAGCCUUGCUCCCCAGAUUUCUCAUUCGAGAACACCCCAACUCAAUGAAUUGUGUCAUCGUGCAGCUGCUUACAGGAGAGCUGGUGGUGAAAAGGCAUGGGGCUGCAACUGGUGCACAUGGAGACCUGUGGGUGUGCAAAAAGCUAUGCCAAUGAUGCCACAGAGUUUCCUUAUAUUCAGAUGCCCAUGGGGACAUUUGUAGGGGCCUCUCUGUCCCUAUAUACAUGGUCUUCUCCAGGCUGUUUACCUGCCGCAUGCUGAAGACCAACUUCAAAGUGGAAUUUGAGGCCACCAUCGACAUGCGUCUUCAUGCUAACCACCUGGUCACAGAGAACUUCCUAUUGCAGCUCUGCAGG
rnacentral:lncRNA from 1 species